CCCACUUUGGAUAUUUAUAUAUAUAUUUCUAUGUAGUGUAUUUGUAUUGUGUGGCCAAAGUUCUUUCUUGGAUUCACUCACGUGGCCUUGUAUUUGGUGGUUGAUUUUUGUUGUCUUUUAAGUGAUACAUUGAAUGAGAAUAAAGACUAAGAGAUAAGAAAAUGUACAAGUUUGAAAGGACGGCGGGACCCAAUAGAUUUUUGUUCUGUAAUUGAAUUGAUAUUUAUUUUUGUGUCGGUGGAAUUACAUUAUAAAUAGGGUGUUUUGUGUUUUGAGUUUAUAUGAGCAAACGGAGAAGGAAAAUUAGAGUAAGUUUGAGGAAACAUACAGUGCCAAGAUGGGCAGACAGACUUAGAGAAUUGAGGAUGCAGUGAUUUUUGUUUUACAGUUUUCAGGUACCGAGGAUGCUUGAGGAUUUUUAGUUGCGGGUUUAGGUGGAAGAGUUGGUGUUGAGGAUUUUUAUUUAAUUAUUUGGAGAUUUUUGUAUAUUCAUUUUUGAGGAAUUAUUUAAAUUUAUUUAGAGAUUUUGUAUAUUUAUUUGACGAAUUGAUUCUAUUUCAAUAAAAUGAUAUUUCAUUUGA